rnacentral:rRNA from 1 species
AUUGAACGCUGGCGGCAUGCCUUACACAUGCAAGUCGAACGGUAACAGGUCUUCGGAUGCUGACGAGUGGCGAACGGGUGAGUAAUGCAUCGGAACGUGCCCAGUAGUGGGGGAUAGCCCGGCGAAAGCCGGAUUACUACCGCAUACGACCUGAGGGAGAAAGGGGGGGAUCGCAAGACCUCUCGCUAUUGGAGCGGCCGAUGUCAGAUUAGCUAGUUGGUGGGGUAAAGGCCUACCAAGGCAACGAUCUGUAGUUGGUCUGAGAGGACGACCAGCCACGCUGGGACUGAGACACGGCCCAGACGCCUAGGGGAGGCAGCAGUGGGGAAUUUUGGGCAAUGGGCGCAAGCCUGAUCCAGCAAGGCCGCGUGCAGGAAGAAGGCCUUCGGGUUGUAAACUGCUUUUGUCAGGGAAGAAAUCUUCUGGGUUAAUACCUCGGGAGGAUGACGGUACCUGAAGAAUAAGCACCGGCUAACUACGUGCCAGCCGCCGCAGUAAGAC